GCUGGGGAUAGUCUGAUCUAAAGUGGCCCGACUUCUUGCAUUCAUAACAGAUGAUGGACUGCUCUUUUUUCUUUUCUUUACUUGGCUCCCCUUUAGCUGGUGGUCUUCUCUUGGUCCAUUGUCACUUUCUCCUUAUGAAAUGUCUGAAUUUUCUGAUGAUUAGGGCUAAGUCCUCAUCUUUUUUGCUGUUCUCUAAUUUUUCUGAGUCUUCUUCUUCUUGAGCUGUUGA
rnacentral:lncRNA from 1 species